rnacentral:rRNA from 1 species
CCUACGGGAGGCAGCAGUUUCGAAUCAUUCACAAUGGGCGAAAGCCUGAUGGUGCGACGCCGCGUGAGGGAUGAAGGUCUUCGGAUUGUAAACCUCUGUCACCGGGGAAGAAACGCUUCAAGUUAAUAGUUUGAAGCCUGACUUAACCCGGAGAGGAAGCAGUGGCUAACUCUGUGCCAGCAGCCGCGGUAAUACAGAGACUGCAAGCGUUAUUCGGAUUCACUGGGCGUAAAGGGUGCGCAGGCGGCCAAGUGUGUGAGGCGUGAAAGCCCGGAGCUUAACUCCGGAAUUGCACCUCAAACUACUUGGCUAGAGCAUUGGAGAGGGUAGCAGAAUUCACGGUGUAGCAGUGAAAUGCGUAGAUAUCGUGAGGAAUACCAGAGGCGAAGGCGGCUACCUAGACAAUUGCUGACGCUCAGGCACGAAAGCGUGGGGAGCAAAAGGGAUUAGAUACCCCUGUAGUCCACGCCCUAAACGGUGCACACUAGGUCUUGGCGGAUUCGACCCCACCAGGGCCCAAGCUAACGCGUUAAGUGUGCCGCCUGAGGACUACGGCCGCGAAGGCUAAACGUCAAAUGAAUUGACGG